UACCAGCACCUCGAGUGGUCAGGACGUUUAUUGGGCCUAAAGCAUCCGUAGCCGGCGCUGCAAGUCUUCGGUUAAAUCCAUCUGCUUAACAGAUGGGCCGCUGGAGAUACUACAGCGCUAGGGAGUGGGAGAGGCAGACGGUAUUCAGUGGGUAGGGGUAAAAUCCUCUGAUCCAUUGAGGACCACCAGUGGCGAAGGCGGUCUGCCAGAACACGUUCGACGGUGAGGGAUGAAAGCUGGGGGAGCAAACCGG
rnacentral:rRNA from 1 species